rnacentral:tRNA from 1 species
AAGGGAGACCUAAUUCAGGUAGGAGACGAAAAAAAAGUAGUCGCUACCAAGAAUCAAUCCCAAAAGGUCGGAGCGAGGCGAAAUUGGCUUUCAAACUAGGUUCUGGGUUCACACAAGACCUGAAUCAGGAACAAGGGCUAUUAGCUCAGGUGGUUAGAGCGCACCCCUGAUAAGGGUGAGGUCCCUGGUUCGAGUCCAGGAUGGCCCACCUGUACAGGUGGCAAAAAGAAAGAAAAGAAGCGAGGAAUCAGCACCUUAUCUUACUGACAUAGUAAGAGAGAAUGCUGGCUCCGAGUAAAGAGUCCAGAGGAACCUUGAAAACUGCAUAGAGCUAGGUGAAAAAGCCAAAAAAGAAGACCGCAA